UAUCAGCUUGUUGGUGGGGUAAUGGCCUACCAAGGCGACGACGGGUAGCCGACCUGAGAGGGUGAUCGGCCACACUGGGACUGAGACACGGCCCAGACUCCUACGGGAGGCAGCAGUGGGGAAUAUUGCACAAUGGGCGCAAGCCUGAUGCAGCGACGCCGCGUGAGGGAUGACGGCCUUCGGGUUGUAAACCUCUUUCACCAGGGACGAAGCGUGAGUGACGGUACCUGGAGAAGAAGCACCGGCCAACUACGUGCCAGCAGCCGCGGUAAUACGUAGGGUGCGAGCGUUGUCCGGAAUUACUGGGCGUAAAGAGCUCGUAGGCGGUUUGUCGCGUCGUCUGUGAAAUUCUGCAACUCAAUUGUAGGCGUGCAGGCGAUACGGGCAGACUUGAGUACUACAGGGGAGACUGGAAUUCCUGGUGUAGCGGUGAAAUGCGCAGAUAUCAGGAGGAACACCGGUGGCGAAGGCGGGUCUCUGGGUAGUAACUGACGCUGAGGAGCGAAAGCGUGGGGAGCGAACAGGAUUAGAUACCCUGGUAGUCCACGCCGUAAACGGUGGGUACUAGGUGUGGGACUCUUUUCACGGGUUCCGUGCCGUAGCUAACGCAUUAAGUACCCCGC
rnacentral:rRNA from 1 species